GCAUCUGCUACGGCAUGCAACUCGCGGCGCACCUCUUGGGCGCGCGGGUGCGGGGUUCGUCCAAGCGCGAGUUCGGGCGCGCGCAGGUGCAC
rnacentral:tRNA from 1 species